CCUACGGGAGGCAGCAGUGAGGAAUAUUGGUCAAUGGGCUCGAGCCUGAACCAGCCAAGUAGCGUGAAGGAUGACUGCCCUACGGGUUGUAAACUUCUUUUAUAAAGGAAUAAAGUGAGGCACGUGUGCCUUUUUUGAUGGACUUUAUAAAUAAGGAUCGGCUAACUCCGUGCCAGCAGCCACGGUAAUACGGAGGAUCCGAACGUUAUCCGGAUUUAUUGGGUUUAAAGGGAGCGUAGAUGGGUUGGUAAGUCAGUUGUGAAAGUUUGCGGCUCAAACGUAAAAUUGCAAUUGAUACUGGCAGUCUUGAGUACAGUUGAGGUAGGCGGAAUUCGUGGUGUAGCGGUGAAAUGCUUAGAUAUCACGAAGAACUCCGAUUGCGAAGGCAGCUUACUAACCUGCCACUGACAUUGAUGCUCGAAAGUGUGGGUAUCAAACAGGAUUAGAUACCCUUGUAGUC
rnacentral:rRNA from 1 species